rnacentral:rRNA from 1 species
UACGUAGGGUGCAAGCGUUGUCCGGAAUUAUUGGGCGUAAAGAGCUCGUAGGCGGUUUGUCGCGUCGGAUGUGAAAACCCGGGGCUCAACCCCGGGCCUGCAUUCGAUACGGGCAGGCUAGAGUUCGGUAGGGGAGUCUGGAAUUCCUGGUGUAGCGGUGAAAUGCGCAGAUAUCAGGAGGAACACCGGUGGCGAAGGCGGGACUCUGGGCCGAUACUGACGCUGAGGAGCGAAAGCGUGGGGAGCGAACAGG